rnacentral:rRNA from 1 species
CCUACGGGUGGCUGCAGUGGGGAAUAUUGCACAAUGGGGGAAACCCUGAUGCAGCGACGCCGCGUGCGUGAAGAAGUAUCUCGGUACGUAAAGCUCUAUCAGCAGGGAAGAAAAUGACGGUACCUGACUAAGAAGCCCCGGCUAACUACGUGCCAGCAGCCGCGGUAAUACGUAGGGGGCAAGCGUUAUCCGGAUUUACUGGGUGUAAAGGGAGCGUAGGCGGCAGGACAAGUCUGGAGUGAAAUCCCGGGGCUUAACCCCGGAACUGCUUUGGAAACUGGGCGGCUGGAGUGAAGGAGGGGUAGGCGGAAUUCGUGGUGUAGCGGUGAAAUGCGUAGAUAUUAGGAGGAACACCGGUGGCGAAGGCGGCUUACUGGACUGCCACUGACAUUGAGGCUCGAAAGUGUGGGUAUCAAACAGGAUUAGAUACCCCAGUAGUC